GGGGGCUGAUUGCUUGCUAGUUGCUGACGAGUGCCGGACGGGUGAGUCAUGCUUACGGAUCUGCCUUUAGGAGGGGGAUAACCAUUGGAAACGAUGGCUAAUACCACAUAAUGUCUACAGACCAAUGGGGGCUUCGGCUCUCACCUAGAUAGGAACCUAAUUGACAUUAGCUACUUGGUGAGGUAAAGGCUCACCAAGGCGACUAUCUCUAACUGUUCUGAAAGGAAGAUCAGCCACACUGGAACUGAGACACGGUCCAGACUCCUACAGGAGGCAGCAGUGGGGAAUAUUGCACAAUGGGGGAAACCCUGAUGCACCCAUGCCGCGUGUGUGAACAAGGCCUUCGGGUUGUAAAGCACUUUCGGUUGUGAGGAAAGGUUAACAUUUAAUACCUGCUACCUGUGACGUUAGCAACAGAAAAAGCACCGGCUAACUCCGUGCCAGCAGCCGCGGUAAUACGGAGGGUGCGAGCGUUAGUCGGAAUUACUGGGCGUAAAGCGCACGCGCGCGGUUUGUUAAGCUACAUGUGAAAGCCCCGGGCUCAACCUGGGAUGGUCGUUUAGAACUGGCAGACUAAAGUUUUGGAGAGGGGAGUGGAAUUCCAGGUGUAGCGGUGACAUGCGUAAAUAUCUGGAGGAACAUCGUUGGCG
rnacentral:rRNA from 1 species